UACGUAGGGAGCAAGCGUUGUCCGGAAUCAUUGGGCGUAAAGCGCGUGUAGGCGGCUGGCUAAGUCAGCUCUGAAAGCCCGGGGCUCAACCCCGGGAGGCGUGUGGAUACUGGUCAGCUCGAGUCCGGAAGAGGAGUGUGGAAUUCCUGGUGUAGCGGUGAAAUGCGCAGAUAUCAGGAGGAACACCAAUGGCGAAGGCAGCACUCUGGGACGGUACUGACGCUGAGACGCGAAAGCGUGGGGAGCAAACAGG
rnacentral:rRNA from 1 species